AACUGUCCAAUUUACAGGAGAGGUAUGAAAUUUCAUUUAUUUAGUCAUCAAGAAACUGGGAAGCUCAUUCCAGUGUUUCAAUUACUGAAACGUCUUCAAUCUUACAAAUUGAGAUGUGCAUGUUUCUAGAAGCUUCUUUGAACAACUUGUACAAAUUAUAUGCAUGCCUGCAAGGUAGUAUGAAAAUGCAAAAUUAAGUCUAAUGACUCUAAUAUCAUUUCUAAAUGGAAUUAAUCACUUAGGGUCUAUUUGACAUUACUAUUGGAGCUGUUGUUGAGAAAAAUA
rnacentral:misc_RNA from 1 species